ACGAACGCUGGCGGCGUGCUUCACCCCUGCCAGUCGAACGGAAAGGCCCUGCUUGCAGGGUACUCGAGUGGCGAACGGGUGAGUAACACGUGGGUGAUCUGCCCUGCACUUCGGGAUAAGCCUGGGAAACUGGGUCUAAUACCGGAUAGGAGCCAUUUUUAGUGUGAUGGUUGGAAAGUUUUUUCGGUGUAGGAUGAGCUCGCGGCCUAUCAGCUUGUUGGUGGGGUAAUGGCCUACCAAGGCGGCGACGGGUAGCCGGCCUGAGAGGGUGGACGGCCACAUUGGGACUGAGAUACGGCCCAGACUCCUACGGGAGGCAGCAGUGGGGAAUAUUGCACAAUGGGCGCAAGCCUGAUGCAGCGACGCCGCGUGGGGGAUGACGGCCUUCGGGUUGUAAACGCCUUUCGCUAGGGACGAAGCUUUUUGUGACGGUACCUAGAUAAGAAGCACCGGCUAACUACGUG
rnacentral:rRNA from 1 species